CCGAGCCGUGUUCGGCGUGCGUCCGUUCCGGAAGGAAGGGAGUCUCCGAAUUCUCUCCUGGGAGCACUUCUUGGAGCUUUAGACCUCGGGACCACAUCAGCGCCUGAAAGUCGAAAAGGAGUUUCAGCACUACCCGAAGUCACCAAUUUCACCUUAGUGGCGGCUGAUAAUCACUAUAUCACCCUGGCAUGGGGUCAACCUCGGAAGAGAAUUGACUUCUACUUGCUCGACGUCACCGGAUGGGAGUGGCUUAUGAAAAUGACAGUCUUCGGAAACAACGCGCGGGAACCUGUAGCAAUGGCACCUUCAUUCGCGCUGAACAGACACAAGUCACCUGUGGCCCUUUCGAUGCCUGCUCGAAGCUUAGUGCGACUAUUCGCACGUACACAACAGGACCACCACAGCGCACCUCACAGGGAACCACCAUAAAGGAUAUUUUCAUCAGUGGUCAUGAGCCAAGUGAACCCAAGAGCAUCACCAUGGUCGCCAAGUCCCCAUCCAUGACGAGACUGCUAUGGGAACCACCAACAUGCAUACAUGGCCUUGUGGACGUGUACGAAGUUAAAGUGUGUGAGAUGUUUUCAGAAUGUGACCAAAAGCAGAACUUGAGUGACUGCAUUGAGCACGAGGUUACGGACACCUGGCUGGACUUUGACAGCAAAGAAGACACCCCGUACUGCGUCCUGAUUACGGCUA
rnacentral:lncRNA from 1 species